rnacentral:rRNA from 1 species
CCUACGGGAGGCAGCAGUGAGGAAUAUUGGUCAAUGGCCGGAAGGCUGAACCAGCCAAGCCGCGUGAAGGACGAAGGUGCCAAGCAUUGUAAACUUCUUUUGUCAAGGGACAAAAUCAGGCGCGAGAGCCUGACCGAGGGUACUUGAAGAAAAAGCAUCGGCUAACUCCGUGCCAGCAGCCGCGGUAAUACGGAGGAUGCGACCGUUAUCCGGAUUUAUUGGGUUUAAAGGGUGCGUAGGCGGACUGUUAAGUCAGCGGUAAAAGCCCGGGGCUCACCCCCGGCGAGCCGUUGAAACUGGCUGUCUUUAGCUGUCGAGAGGUAUGCGUACUGCGCCGUGUAGCGGUGACAUGCUUAGAUAUUGCGC